UACAGAGGUCCCAAGCGUUGUUCGGAUUCACUGGGCGUAAAGGGUGCGUAGGUGGUCGGGUAAGUCUGAUGUGAAAUCUCUGAGCUCAACUCAGAAAUGGCAUUGGAUACUAUCUGGCUAGAGGGUCGGAGGGGGGACUGGAAUUCUCGGUGUAGCAGUGAAAUGCGUAGAUAUCGAGAGGAACACCAGUGGCGAAGGCGAGUCCCUGGACGACUCCUGACACUGAGGCACGAAAGCUAGGGGAGCAAACAGG
rnacentral:rRNA from 1 species